rnacentral:rRNA from 1 species
UACGGGGGGAGCAAGCGUUGUUCGGAUUUACUGGGCGUAAAGGGCGCGUAGGCGGCGCAACAAGUCACUUGUGAAAUCUCCGGGCUUAACCCGGAGCGGUCAAGUGAUACUGUCGUGCUAGAGUGCGGAAGGGGCUACUGGAAUUCUCGGUGUAGCGGUGAAAUGCGUAGAUAUCGAGAGGAACACCUGCGGCGAAGGCGGGUAGCUGGGCCGACACUGACGCUGAGGCGCGAAAGCUAGGGGAGCGAACGGG